UAUCUCUCUGUACGGGAAGGAUGAGAAGCUUCGACUAAGGUUCGAUUCGAGCGAAAGCGAGAAAGCGUUGCCGCAGGCAACGACCCGAAGGGCGAAACGCGCAGCGCUGAGUCAUCCUUCCCCCACCACCA
rnacentral:sRNA from 1 species